rnacentral:rRNA from 1 species
UCUGCUCAAUUGUUUUUUAAAUUGCUGUGGUAUUUUGACUAUACAAAGGUAUUGAAAUAAGAUUUUAAUUGAAUGCUAAGAGAAUGGAAUUUCAGAAAAAAACUUUUUUCAAGUUAAAAAUUGAAAUUUUUUUAAUUUGUGCAGAAACAAUUAUUAAUAUUAAGGACAAGAAGACCCUAUGAAUUUAUAAAUUUUAUUUAAUAUGUAACUACUAUUAAAAAAAUUUUAGCUGGGGCGGCGGAAAAAUAUUUAAAACUUUUUUAAAAUAAAAUGACCCAUUAUUAAUGAUUAUAUGUUAAAUACUCUAGGGAUAACAGCGUAAA